rnacentral:rRNA from 1 species
CUGCUGCCUCCCGUAGGAGUCUGGUCCGUGUCUCAGUACCAGUGUGGGGGACCUUCCUCUCAGAACCCCUAGACAUCGUCGCCUUGGUGGGCCGUUGCCCCGCCAACUAGCUAAUGUCACGCAUGCCCAUCCGUUGCCGGAAUCGCUCCCUUUGGCCGCAGGGCCAUGCAGCCCCGCGGCGUUACGCGGUAUUAGACGGGAUUUCUCCCGAUUAUCCCCCCUGCAACGGGCAGGUCGCAUACGCGUUACUCACCCGUGCG